rnacentral:rRNA from 1 species
GAUGAACGCUAGCUACAGGCUUAACACAUGCAAGUCGAGGGGUAACAAGAGGAAAGCUUGCUUUUCUUGUUGACGACCGGCGCACGGGUGAGUAACGCGUAUCCAACCUGCCUAUAACUAGGGAAUAACCUUGCGAAAGUAAGACUAAUACCCUAUGAUUUCCUUUGAUGACAUCAGAUUAGGAAUAAAGAUUUAUCGGUUAUAGAUGGGGAUGCGUCUGAUUAGCUUGUUGGCGGGGUAACGGCCCACCAAGGCAACGAUCAGUAGGGGUUCUGAGAGAUAAGUCCCCGACAUUGGAACGGAGGCACGGUCCAAACUCCUGCGGGAGGCAGCAGUGAGGGAUAUGGGUCAAUGGGCGGAAGCCUGAACCAGCCAGGUAGCGGACAGGUUGACGGCCCUAUGUGUUGUAAACUGCUUUUAUACAGGAAUAAAGUUAGCCACGUGUGGUUAUUUGUAGGUACUGUAUGAAUAAGGACCGGCUAAGUCCGUGCCAGCAGCCGCCGUAA